AAGUCGUUCUUCCACCUCAGCCGGCAGCAGAGCUGGGGGCUGGGUUGGGAAGAGGGGGAAACUUGGAGGCACAAUGAAUCGACGAGGUCUCCGGGGCUAUCGCCCAGAGAACCACAGGGUCACACGGAACUCCGCGGAAAUGACAGGACGAGCUGCUGACGUCUCUUCCUGACUGAAUUCAGUAACGUCAGCCCGAAACAACCCAGAAUCUGCAACUAUGUCAUCGGACGCGUGGUCACUUUAAAUUCCAACUGGUCGGGGCGCCUGGGUGGCUCAG